UACGUAGGCAGCGAGCGUUGUUCGGAGUUACUGGGCGUAAAGAGUGCGUAGGCGGUUUUCUAAGUUUGGUGUGAAAUCUCCCGGCUUAACUGGGAGGGUGCGCCGAAGACUGGAAGGCUUGAGUAUGGGAGAGGUAAGCGGAAUUCCUGGUGUAGCGGUGAAAUGCGCAGAUAUCAGGAGGAACACCGGUGGCGAAGGCGGUUCUCUGGGCAACAACUGACGCUGAGGAGCGAAAGCGUGGGGAGCGAACAGG
rnacentral:rRNA from 1 species